AUUAACACAGGGUCUGGAACCCUUACGCUGCCGUGGACUUAUGCACUAACAUAUUCUGCUUUCCUUGUCUCUGUGUAAAUUCACUGCAGGGAACACUCAAUGAGCACACCAGUCAUUAUGGAGGUCAGAAAGUAUUCGAAAGUUUUAAUGCAUGUACAUCGUAUAAAUAAAACACAGUUUUCUUAGAGGUGUAUACAACAAAAGGCAAAAUCAACCAAUCAUAGAAG